GGUCCCAGUAGGAGAGAAGAAUCCCAUUUCUUAGUGGCAGGAGCCUGGCAUGAUCCUAAUGCUGCUGAGGAAGAACAGUGGAGAACCAGAGUCCAGGAUCACAAAAGCAAAUUGCAUUUAUCACCUCUCUUGUUGGAGAUCCAGACAUGCUCCACUUACAGAUUCUGCCUGCAGAAUGGGCUGAACUAGAGGGCUGCUUCAGGGAGAUUCUAAGAAGCAAUGCCUCUUUAAAUGGAACCCAGCCUCGCAGUGGCCUUGCCAUUAGCUGCUCUCACUUUGGGUACAGGUGGCUUCAGGUGAGCCACGCUGCUAAUUAGUACCCUGCUUGUCAAAAUGAAGCAGUGCUUUGAAGCUACUUGCAAACAAAUUGGUCCCCAGAGGAGAGAGAGAUGUGUGGUUGUGCUGGUUGCAUCAUCCAGAAAGCAUCACCCAAACAGCCUGGCCCCAAGAAAAGAGUUCAAGGCAAGAGGGGAAUGUGUUUGCAUCACUGAAACCAUUUAAAAUUGAAAAGGUGCCAAAAAGUUUUCUUAAGCACUGGAAGGCCGGCAUUAAAGCAAAUACCCUUCCCCUGCUGACUGCAGUGCCUCUUGUCAGAGAGCUGUGCCAAGAUCCGCUUCCCAAGGUCAGAGGCUCACGGUGGGCUGAUAAAAGCAGCCAGCACAGCCUGGCUGGG